CUCCCCUUCCUGCACGGCACGUUUCGAAACGAGCCCUUUCCCGGCCAAAUCGGCAGAGAAAACUCCCCCCGCCAAAAACACCCUCUGCAAACCAGGACGUCUUCCCACCCAACUUAGCUCAAAGCGUAAUUUAUGGGUUGCACGGAAAGCUUAGGCGCGCUAGCAGCACGCAGCGGCUCUUCCACCCGGCCCGGCUGCGUUCCUGGAGGUUUUCCCUCCAGAGCCUCAUUCCAGCCCGGAGACGCCCCAAAAGCUGCCGGGAGCCGGGGCUCUCCGGCCGGCACCUCCUCGCCGGGCUCAUUUGCAGCAGGAGCGUUGGUGGCUGCCUCCUGGCUCUUUUGCCCUUCUCGGACCGUCGCUUCUUGGGACUUUUUGCUGGCUCAGCAAUGUCUCCGAUGGAGGCAACUGGCCAGUUUUCAUUCCCAAGGCUCCUUUCGCAUCGCCGUGUAGAUGUGCUUCAGUGGCCCUUUCCUUUUGUGCGGCGUCCCUCGCGGUACCGCACACGCGUUGAGAAGAAGCGCCGGGGCUGGGGGCACCCUCAGCCCAUUUUACAGGUGGAGAAUGUGAGGCAGAGACCUUCCUGCAGGAUCUGGCGGGCAGUUCGUACCUCCGCACCAGCCCGGCCGCGGUCCUCUCCAGCUUGUUGCAUUUUCUGUGGACGCAUCGAGCAUUUUCAGUGCAUUUAUCGCAGGGUGACGACUGGGCUUUGAAGAAGUUUUACCAGCCAGCGUCGCCCCUUGCUGCAGAGGGGGAUGGAGAUGUACAACCCGGCACAUCUGCUCGCCGGGAAUAACCGCUAAUAUGCGGCACUGCUUUGGCUCCCAGCUGCGUAAAAGCCAGCAGACAAAAGGGAGCUUCCUCCCCCGGCCCAAAGUCUUUGUGGCUGCUCAGAAACAGCUGUGCCAACCCACCGCCUCCCGCCCCGGGGCGACGUCCCACCCAGCCCCGCCGUGCCCCGAGGGGUGCAAGGGGGUCUGCGCCAGCGGGGNNNNNNNNNNNNNNNNNNNNNNNNNNNN
rnacentral:lncRNA from 1 species